rnacentral:snoRNA from 1 species
GUGAGGUGAUGAUGAAGUUUAUCCAUUCUCUGAGUGCAGUGGUGCUGCCCUCCUGCAGCACCCCGAUUCCUGUUCUAGGGUCUGGGUGCUGUGCAGCCUCCAGAGACCCUCUGGUCUCCCAGUGUCCUACUGGGGGCUGCUGGGGUGUGUGGUGGCUGCCUGCAGGAGUGAUGUGGUGCUGGCAGGGUUAGAGCCCCUCUUUUGGGGGGCUCCAUCCCCACUGAGACGAGGGAUGAUGUCUGAUCAC